rnacentral:lncRNA from 1 species
UGUUGCUUUGCCAGCCUUGUUUUAUACAUGGCCAGUCUGAAACUCAGGUGGCGUUCUUACCAUUGAGCGCAGCUGCCGGGCCAGACUGAAACACCUGGCCUAGCUAACAUCACACAAUUUAGUCUGAACAGCACGAACAGCACACACAGCUGCUCUUUAGGGAAGAGCCUUGGAUGGACCAGCUCAGACCCGGGCAUAUACUUUUCUAGUUUAUAUGGCACACAUCUAAGAACCUUGAAGAUAAUCAGUAAAUGUUAACUUAAUGAGUGAAUGUGCCAUUAUCUGCUGUAGUAACAUUUCCUAAAGCAGUUGGGUCUGGCUUUUCAUUAUUCACAGAAGAUUUUGUUAUAAAGUCCCUAAAUGCCUUUUAUAGAUAUGCAUGUUUUAAGAUACUAGUGUCACAGCAAUAUAGGUCUUUAUAAUCCACCACUUACAAAAAAAUAGACUCUGGGUUUUUUUUUUGUUUUUUUGUUUUUUUUUUUUGGCUGCACCCUCGGCAUAUGGAGGUUCCCAGGCUAGGGCUCUAAUCGGAGCUGUAGCCACUGGUCUACUGCAGAGCCACAGCAAUGCGGGAUCCGAGCCGCUUCUGUGACCUACACCGCAGCUCACAGCAAUGCCUGAUCCUUAACCCACUGUGCAAGGCCAGGGAUCGAACCCGCAACCUCAUCGUUUGUAGUCGGAUUCAUUAACCAUUGUGCCACGAUGGGAACUCCAAGACUCUGAGUUUUUUUUUUGGGAAAAAAAAAUUGUUUAUAUGUUUUGUAUUUGUCAGGACUCUGUCAGGAAGUCACAGAAACCCAGUGUUCAGAGAGGAAGGGGCAUAUCCUGGCUCCCGUAUUGGAAAAGUUCAGGGAAGAUCCACUUCUGAUUUUCUGUCUUCUUCAGGGUGGUAAAUGUUCAUGAGCAGCUUUAGACAUAAUCCCUGUGGGAAAAGAGAAUAAUUCAGGAUUAAUUCUGAUUAGACCGCUUUGAUCAUAUGCCCAUGCCCAAACCAGUUCUUAUGGCCUGAGACUGGGCACAUACUGCUUGGCUCGCCCUUGAUGUCCUGGAGCCUUGGGGACCGGGAGGGAGGUCUGUGUGAGGAGUGGGGCCGGGGCGGGGGAGUGGAGGAGGUACCUGGGAAUGUGGUCCUAAAACACAUGACCUGAGAGCAGAGAAUGCGUGGUUUUUAAAGAGAACAUAUUGAAAAGAAGAGAGAGUAGAGUCUGCAAGCAGAAAUAGCAGGUAUCUGCUGCUGCUGCUGCAUCUGUUUUCCCUGGAGGACAGAGCAUAUUUCAAUAAGCCACUGAGCCAUCAACCUGAAUGGUCCUGGUCUGACAUUCUCCCUUUCCGCCUCCACCCAGUCAUCAGCAGGGCCUGCUGCUCCAUCUUUCAGUCUUCCUCUCCCCCCCUCCCCUGUGAGUUCAGACCUUCCCUGCUUCACUCCUAAGUCACGUCUAAGAUGCUGCCUCCCGUCUCUCUGCUGCCAGGCCAUCCUCUUCACCGCUGCCUGAGUGCUCUUACUAAAGGACAAGUAGCUAAAAUCAAACCAUGAGUCCACGGUCAAAAGGUACAUACUGCCAGCUGUGAAAUAAAUAAGGCGUGGGGAUAUAAUAUACAGCCUGGUGACCAAAGUUAAUAAUAGCAUGCAUAUUUGAAAAUUGCCAAGAAAGUAGAUCUUAAGAGUUAUCACAAGAGUUGAUACUAUGUAUAGUGAUAGAUGUUGACUUGUUUUGCAAUCAUUUCACAGUUUAUACAACUAGCAAAUCAUUGUAUUAUACACCUGAAACAUAUAAUGUUAUAUGUCAGUUGUAUCUCAGUAAAAAAGAACUAUUCAAAAUUUCAUAGCCUUGGAGAAGAAGUCCAAGUUCAUGGCCAUGAAUUCCGAGGUUCCCCAUGAUAUGCCCUGCCUCCUGUGUGUCACAGUGAAUGGAUGGGUGGUAGGGUGUGCAGCAAAGACUUCUUGGAGCUGCCCAUAUUCUCCCCAUGCUGUGCUGGCCUACAUAACAUCAAGAGCACCAGCUAUCCAUUUUCUCCCUUAUUUUCAUGCUUUUGCAUGUGCUUUUGUCUCUGUGGAAUAUUGCUUCUCCUUUCUUGACCUAGUGAACACUUCCUUUCAGAGACAACCCAAGCGUUGUCUCUUUGCUGAACACAUCCUCCUACCCAGUCCCUACAUUGGACUUGACCCUGUGGUGCAGCACUGGGUGUGCUUGUCUGUCUCUCCUGCUGCUCCGAAUGUCCUGAGUGCCUUCUUGUCUUUGUGUAUCCCUGUGCUCAGAACAGUGCCUUUCACAUCAGAUACGCACAGUGACUUCUAAAUGAAUGAAAUAUGUGUACUAAAUUGUUCACCUUCAUCCUACGAUUUUUUAGGCUUAUUUUCUUUCCUUUAACUUGACUCUCACAUUUGCAUCUGAAAACAUAUUGGACAUGAAGAGCAGGUUCUCUUUGAAAUUGCUACUUGGAUGCUUUUGCAGCAAUUCUCCCAACUGUUGGUGUGCUCGUUUCCUGCUUGGUCACCAAGAACUACCUUAAGAGAGAGGUGGAAAAAUAUAGUGACCAGAAAUUAAUCUCAGGGCUAGAAUCCAUGGCUCAGAUAUCAGAUGAGGAAUAAUUUUUCUUCCUCCCUUUAAGAGGAUAUCUAAUAGUUAAUACCUGUGAGGUGCUUCCUGUCUGCAUUUACCAGAUGCCUUACAAUUAUUAUUAUUGAAUCCUCAAAACAGCCCCAGGUAGGACCUAUUACUAUUAUCACCCCUUUUCUCCAUAUGAGGAAACUUUUUUUCUCUUUUUUGGCUUUUUAGGGCUGCACCAGUGGCAUAUGACAGUUCCCAGGUUAGCGGUCAAAUUGGAGCUGCAGUUGCUACCUACACCAUAGCCACUGCAAUGCCAGAUCCGAGCCACAUCUGUGCCUUACACCACAGCUCGCACAACACUGGAUCCUUAACCCAUUGAGUGAGACCAGGGAUCGAACUCAUGUUCUCAUGGAUACUAGUUGGGUUUGCUUCCGCUGAGCCAUAAUGGGAACUCCCGGAAACUAACAUUCCAAGAGUAGAAGCAGCUUGCUUGUUGCUAGGCUCCUUCUUCUUGGACCUUGCAUAGUUGCCAGACACUCAUCUGGGUUGCUGAGGGGGUAGACCCAGUCUCCAAUUGGGCUCUUCCAACUCAUCCAAUAUGUUUUCGUGGUUGUUCUAAAAUGACGUGACCCCUUCCCAGGAGUCAAACAUUGCAGCUGCCUCCCUUGGCCAUCAGUUGUGUCAGAAACACUAUGGAAAAAGAUGUGUGUAAAGAGGUUAAGGACUUUAGUACUGUACGUGGUUGAAAAUAAGAUGAAUUUCUAUCUUAGAAAUUGCAGGCAUGUUCCAGUGAUUCUGCUGUGGCCAGAUAAUAAACGCCUCUCACCGAAGUUGUGCUGCUGUGUGUAAAAUGUAGGCCUCUUGAACAGGCAUGGAAGAGGCUUAGUUCUGAGGAUCAUGCAGAAAUUUAUACCAGAGAUAUACAAAAUGAGCUAAACACUUUGGAAGCCACAGAAGCUUAAGAAUGUUUCUUAACCUGUUUUCAGUCUGAGAGCCUUUUGAGGUUCUGAUGAGAGCUAUGGAAUUCUUUCCUUAGAGAAAAAAGAUGUGCACGCACACACACACACGCACACACCACUUUGUAUUUGGUUUCAAGGGUUUCCAUCUGUGGACUUCCUGGGGGCUCCACAGACUCCAGGUUAAAAACCUUGCUUAGAAGCUGAAAUUUGGAAGAAUGAUAAUAGCCAUUGUUGAAUGUUUACCAUGCAUCACAUGCAACCAUUUAUUGCGCUCACCAUGUGCCAGCUCUUUCUGAACAGCACCUCAGAGCCCACUAUCCCCCUAAGACGUGCAUGAUGAGUCCUGUUUUAAGCUAUGAGCAAUGAAGUUCGGAGAAGGAAUGUACUCGUCUCCCGGCUGCCAAGUGGUGAGCGUAGAAUUAAAUGCAGAGCCCAGAUCUGCAUCACUGCUCCUUCUCUUGGUUUCCAUGCCCAUUCAUCUCACCAAGUGAGACAUGAGACCUGGCCAGGGAAACGCCCAGCCCUUGUCAGCCCUGACUGCCCUCAGCCUUCAGCUGAGUAGGUCAAGCGGCUGCUUCGGCCCCUGGAGCCUCCAGGCAUGUUUCCAGUGCCAGGAGCAGACGAGGGCUGGGAAGGUCUCAGCUCGCUGUCCCCCGCCACCUGUCACCACUUUUUCCCCACGCAGAGCAGAACGUGCCCAUAGAGGGAUGCAGAAUGGCUGCUUGACCAUCCCUGGGUGAGAGCCUCACUCAUUCCUGAGUGCCCUUUACACACCUGGGCACUUUAACGCAGCAGAGCCUCCACAACGCAGGUGGCUGCAUGUUCUCCAUUUGAGCCCAUCCACAGACGUUUAUUUUGGGCUGCAGUUGGCCGGGCUUCACGCUCAAUGCUGUGGUCACCACAGCAUACAGAUAUGGUUCCUGACCUCCUGGCACUUGCACCUGGCUCACAUCUAGCGGAGAAGGGGGCUAACAGAUUAAAGUGUGACGUGUUGGAUGAAAAAGGAAGUGUAAAGGGUUCCUUCUGUACAAGUUUCCAUUCUUUGCAGCUUCGCAACUCAAGUCCAAAAUGUUUCUACUUCUCUGCCCUUUCUGUCUCUCCUUGGGUGUUGAGAGAACUUCAGGUUUCCAGAGACUUAAUCAACAGGGUAAAGGGGACACAGCAGAGCAGUUCCUUGCAGGCCCCCCUUUGCAGAUGAGCAAGUAGAGUGACUAGACAACAAGCCACAGGAGGGGGAAGACAGGGCUCCCUAGUUGGUCUGGUCCCCAGCAGAGCAGGGCUCCCUGUAAACCACAGGCUGCAUCUCAUUUUUUCGUGAUGUGACUGUGGUCUUUGUUUUGGCCUUCAUGUUGUGGCCUUUCUGCUGUAGAUGAGCCUGGCAGGUCAGUGCUCUUCAGGAAGAAGUCACCGCCAGCUCUGCUCCCUCUGUAGCCCCUUGUGGGCUCCCUUGUGGCUCAUCUCCUCUUUUUCCAUGAAUCACUUCUCCCCACUCACCCACCUGCUCUCAAGACAGACUCCAGAGUUUUCUUCUCCAAGUGUCUGCUUGUGACUAUGAAUGCGAGCCCUUAGGUCAUUUCAGAUUUUCCAGUAGGCACAGUAAGAAAGGUAGAAGGAAACAGAUGAAAUUAAUUUUGGUAAUGGUUUAGUUAACCCAGUAUAUCCAAGCUAUUAGCAUUUCCCCAUGUAAUUAGUGUUAAAAAAAAUUAAUUAGAUUCUUCACAUUCUUUUUCCCCCCAAACUCUUUGAAAUUGGGGUAUAUUGCAUUAACUCAGACAAGCCACACUUGCUGUGCUCUGUCUCCACGUGUGGCUGGUGGCUCACAUGCUGGCCUGCAGGCCGGGCCUCUGAGGAGGCCCUGGGAGGCCUAGGGGCAGACUCGGCCACAGCUACCCCCAACCCCCAGCGCUUAGCUUGUGCCUUUGCUGUUCCAGGGGGUGUUGUACUUAGCUGCCGGUACUCUUGAACCCGGGCCCUUGAGGGUAGGGAAUGUGUCGGUCAUCUUUCUGUCCUGAGUGCAGGGGGCAGUGUUUAGGAGGCCCACAGUUGGCAUUUGCAACAUUGAAAGCAUUCGUGGAUGGGGAAGGUUAUUUGUAGCCUCAGGAGCUCCAAGGAUUGGUCUCUGGGGGCUCCCCCUCCCCAGCCCUGCCUCCUGCCUUUCAACCCUGGUCCUGCCUAGUGCCAGAGAACCAUGCUUGAGUCAGACUGAGGGAGCCUCUGGUGUCAAAGGGGACAUUCCAGCCUAGAAUUGUGCUGCCCUUCGGCCUGUUUCCUUUAGCUCAAGGCUUUCCCUCCUCUAAUAUUAAAUUCUAGGAGAACUUAUCUGUAGUUCUGCAUGUUAAAUGCUAAUGGUCUUAUUUAGCAGGAAGGAGAAAAAACAAAAAAACAAAAAA